ACGUACCUCCUGCGGGAGGCAGCAGUGGGGAAUAUUGCACAAUGGGCGCAAGCCUGAUGCAGCCAUGCCGCGUGUAUGAAGAAGGCCUUCGGGUUGUAAAGUACUUUCAGCGGGGAGGAAGGCAAUACGGUUAAUAACCGUGUUGAUUGACGUUACCCGCAGAAGAAGCACCGGCUAACUCCGUGCCAGCAGCCGCGGUAAUACGGAGGGUGCAAGCGUUAAUCGGAAUUACUGGGCGUAAAGCGCACGCAGGCGGUCUGUCAAGUCGGAUGUGAAAUCCCCGGGCUCAACCUGGGAACUGCAUUCGAAACUGGCAGGCUUGAGUCUUGUAGAGGGGGGUAGAAUUCCAGGUGUAGCGGUGAAAUGCGUAGAGAUCUGGAGGAAUACCGGUGGCGAAGGCGGCCCCCUGGACAAAGACUGACGCUCAGGUGCGAAAGCGUGGGGAGCAAACAGGAUUAGAUACCCGUGUAGUCC
rnacentral:rRNA from 1 species